rnacentral:rRNA from 1 species
AACGAACGCUGGCGGCAGGCCUAACACAUGCAAGUCGAGCGGACAUCUUCGGAUGUUAGCGGCGGACGGGUGAGUAACGCGUGGUAACGUGCCCUUUGCUUCGGAAUAGCCUCGGGAAACUGGGAGUAAUACCGGAUGUACCCUUUGGGGGAAAGAUUUAUCGGCAAAGGAUCGGCCCGCGUUGGAUUAGGCAGUUGGUGGGGUAAUGGCCUACCAAGCCGACGAUCCAUAGCUGGUUUGAGAGGAUGAUCAGCCACACUGGGACUGAGACACGGCCCAGACUCCUACGGGAGGCAGCAGUGGGGAAUCUUAGACAAUGGGGGAAACCCUGAUCUAGCCAUGCCGCGUGAGCGAUGAAGGCCUUAGGGUUGUAAAGCUCUUUCACCGGGGAAGAUAAUGACGGUACCCGGAGAAGAAGCCCCGGCUAACUCCGUG